GGGGAGUUGGGGGGGAUCCAGUGUGUGAGAGAGAGAGGAGAUUCCAACAUCAGCCUUCAUAUGUGAGGCCUCCACAUAACAUAACACAACACAACACCAACAGCUCUGCUAUAGCAAUCAAUACUUCUAUUGAUUACAAUACUUCUAUUGAUUACUAGGAGGAUAUGUAGCUGUAUCAUUUCACCCCUCACAUCACUGCUGGCUGAUUCGCCACUUCAUCUCUCUUUUUUGUGUUCUUGCAUCUCCAUUUUUAUCCAGUUGAUAUGUUUUGUCCUUCCUUUCCUGGCUCAGUGCAUGUGCACAGCACCCCAGUAACUUGGCUAAGUUUGGGCCUAUAAAGGGUUAUUUAGUUGCCAGGAGAGAGAGCAAACUGAUUCUGCAGGGCCUGCCAGAAGAUUACAAUACCGGUGCAUCCUAAGCUACACAGAAUACAAGGACACACACACACACACACACACAGAGAGAGAGAGAGAGAGAGAGAGAGAGAGAGAUUAAUGCGUUUCAGAACGAGGCUGAAAAUACAUCAUAUCAUCUUUAAUGGGUACACAUUUCUGCAGCCGUAAAUCAGCUUUUAUAAAUAGAAAAACCGGGUGAAAUAUGGCGUUGUAUAUUCCUCCCAAUGACACUUUUACAAGCCCUCCCUGCAGUAUAAAGGCAUUGAUUGCUAUUUCAAAGUACCAUGUUAGACCCAAUACUGAGUACAACCAGCUGUCAUAGUGGAGAUGGAGGGAGAGAGAGAGAGGUGGAGGCAGAGAGGUGGAGAGAGAGAGGUGGAUGGAGGGAGGGAGAGAGAGAGAGAGAGAAGGAAAGCGAGAGAGAGAAGGAAAGCGAGAGUGAGGGAGGGAGAGAGAAAGCAAGAGAAGGAAAGCGAGAGGGCAGAAGGGAGAGAGAGAGCGAGAGAAGGAAGCAAGAGGGAGGGAGAGGGCAGAGAGGACUUAUGGCUCUGGCAAAUUUGGGGCCUUUUUUCAGAGAGUCGUUCAGAGAGUCAAAUUAUUGGACUGACAGCCCAUCCCUUUGGUGAAGGUGAAAAUAAGAAAAUGAAAAGAUUCUGCUGUAUCACAUUCAAAGGAGGAUCCACUGCUCUAAAUUCUAGUUUAAAUGGAUGUGCCAAUCAGCUGUGGAUAUGGAACGGGCCCAGGAGCAAAGCUGUAAUGUAUUCCCAGGGUGCAAUGGUUGUCGUAAAUACAAGCAUACAACCAUAUUGUUGAGCGGCGGAUCAUAUUUUACACUGUUAACACGCCAUCUGGUUCUCCCUAUAAGCAUUCAUUACACAUAAUGGAACACACUCUACAGGCAGGGUACUGCAGAGUACACCCUGUCACGCACAAUACGAACACACACACAGCACUAGAAGCUUUCAGAGUGUAAACAGGGGACAGGGUUCAAAUGAGGGUAAUGCAUAACAAAACACCAGAGAGAGAGAGAGAGAGCGAGCGAGUGAGCGAGCGAGAUAGAGAGAGGGGUGGGAGGGGGGGUAAAGCACUACCCCUUUACUUCUCUGCAGCUGAUGCUGUGCCACAGCUGUACAUGACAUUGUGACAUUCCUGAAAAAUACAAAGGAAAACGCUGCACAACGCUGUUCAUGUAUCCAGGUGAUUUUAUUGUUACAACAUUUCAACCCUUAAGUCAUUAGGCAUCCAUAUCCCAGAUGGGGAUAUGUCCUAUAUAUAGGGGCAGUGCUCAGUGACAUCACUUCCUGAAACAGGAGGUAAAAACAUAUAUCGGUUCACAAUAUUAACAUUCAAUAUAUAAAAAUAUAUAACCAUACAUGUGGAAAAGGUUUGAGUGGGAUAAUGCGGACUACAAGUAGCAGAAGGUGUAUUUCUGGAGAGAUGACUUCCCCGCAAGAAAUGUAGGAAGACGGCAACAAACGAAGUCCCCACCACUCACACGGAGCAAGACACGGUAAUACACUUGUCCAACAGGUCUAUAGCUGACACAAGCUCAUCUGCCUUAGGUAACAAAAUAUACUUUGUCCCAACAUCACAGGCCAAUGACUUUGAUACAUUUAUAGAUGUCGGCCACGUCGCCGAGAUUGACGUCUUGCUUACGGACAGGCUAAACACAUUCUUCGCACACUUUGAGGAUAACACAGUGCCACCGACGCAGCCUGCUACCAAGGACUGUGGGCUCUCCUUCUCCGUGGCCGACGUGAGUAGAACAUUUAAACGUGUUAACUCUCGCAAGGCUGCCUGUCCAGACGGCAUCCCUAACCGCGUCCUCAGAGCAUGUGCAGACCAGCUGGCUGGUGUGUCUACGGACAUAUUCA
rnacentral:lncRNA from 8 species